UACGUAGGGUGCGAGCGUUGUCCGGAAUUAUUGGGCGUAAAGGGCUCGUAGGCGGUUUGUCGCGUCGGGAGUGAAAUCCACUGGCUUAACUGGUGGCUUGCUUUCGAUACGAGCAGACUGGAGGUAUGCAGGGGAGAACGGAAUUCCUGGUGUAGCGGUGAAAUGCGCAGAUAUCAGGAGGAACACCGGUGGCGAAGGCGGAUCUCUGGGCCGAUACUGACGCUGAGGAGCGAAAGCGUGGGGAGCGAACAGG
rnacentral:rRNA from 1 species